UAGGGAAUCUUCCGCAAUGGACGCAAGUCUGACGGAGCAACGCCGCGUGAGUGAAGAAGGAUUUCGGUUCGUAAAACUCUGUUGUUAGAGAAGAACAGCGCAUAGAGUAACUGUUAUGCGUGUGACGGUAUCUAACCAGAAAGCCACGGCUAACUACGUGCCAGCAGCCGCGGUAAUACGUAGGUCCCGAGCGUUGUCCGGAUUUAUUGGGCGUAAAGAGAGCGCAGGCGGUUAGAAAAGUCUGAAGUGAAAGGCAGUGGCUCAACCAUAGUAGGCUUUGGAAACUGUUUAACUUGAGUGAAGAAGGGGAGAGUGGAAUUCCAUGUGUAGCGGUGAAAUGCGUAGAUAUAUGGAGGAACACCGGUGGCGAAAGCGGCUCGCUGGUCUGUAACUGACGCUGAGGCUCGAAAGCGUGGGGAGCGAACAGG
rnacentral:rRNA from 1 species